GGAUGUGAGGGUGAUCUGGCUAUGACAUCUGUCACUCCGUUGAUCGCCAGGGUUGAUUCGGCUGAUCUGGCUGGCUAGACGGGUGUCCUCUUUCAUCCCUCAAUGCUCCAAAUGCAUCCCUCCCAAAGCUGAGUGCAAGGUCAAAGAGGAGACCACCCCCAAAAGAGGAGGACUGUUCCUCGGUCAAGGGUGUAGGAGUAGCUGUGCUUCCCUGCUAGAAUGCCCAAACAAGCUCUCAAGAAACCUGGAUCAAGGGCAGUGAGAUAGCUCAGUGGACUAAGUGCUUACUU
rnacentral:snRNA from 1 species